AACACGUGGGCAACCUGCCCUGCAGAUGGGGAUAACUCCGGGAAACCGGGGCUAAUACCGAAUAAUCAGUUCCUUCGCAUGAAGGAACUCUGAAAGACGGUUUCGGCUGUCACUGCAGGAUGGGCCCGCGGCGCAUUAGCUAGUUGGUGGGGUAAUGGCCUACCAAGGCGACGAUGCGUAGCCGACCUGAGAGGGUGAUCGGCCACACUGGGACUGAGACACGGCCCAGACUCCUACGGGAGGCAGCAGUAGGGAAUCUUCCACAAUGGACGAAAGUCUGAUGGAGCAACGCCGCGUGAGCGAAGAAGGUUUUCGGAUCGUAAAGCUCUGUUGUAAGGGAAGAACAAGUACGGGAGUAACUGUCCGUACCUUGACGGUACCUUAUUAGAAAGCCACGGCUAACUACGUGCCAGCAGCCGCGGUAAUACGUAGGUGGCAAGCGUUGUCCGGAAUUAUUGGGCGUAAAGCGCGCGCAGGCGGUCCUUUAAGUCUGUUGUGAAAGCCCACGGCUCAACCGUGGAGGGUCAUUGGAAACUGGGGGACUUGAGUACAGAAGAGGAAAGCGGAAUUCCACGUGUAGCGGUGAAAUGCGUAGAGAUGUGGAGG
rnacentral:rRNA from 1 species